rnacentral:rRNA from 1 species
CCUACGGGGUGCUGCAGUGAGGAAUAUUGGUCAAUGGACGAGAGUCUGAACCAGCCAAGUAGCGUGAAGGAUGACUGCCCUAUGGGUUGUAAACUUCUUUUAUAAGGGAAUAAAAUGUUCCACGUGUGGGAUUUUGUAUGUACCAUAUGAAUAAGGAUCGGCUAACUCCGUGCCAGCAGCCGCGGUAAUACGGAGGAUCCGAGCGUUAUCCGGAUUUAUUGGGUUUAAAGGGAGCGUAGGUGGAUUGUUAAGUCAGUUGUGAAAGUUUGCGGCUCAACCGUAAAAUUGCAGUUGAAACUGGCAGUCUUGAGUACAGUAGAGGUGGGCGGAAUUCGUGGUGUAGCGGUGAAAUGCUUAGAUAUCACGAAGAACUCCGAUUGCGAAGGCAGUUCACUGGACUGCAACUGACACUGAGGCUCGAAAGUGUGGGUAUCAAACAGGAUUAGAUACCCUUGUAGUC